ACUUUUGCAGCAACAAAGCCUCCUUAUGCUAGAUCGACAAUAUAGUUAUUUAAUGUUUAGAAGUAGGCUAAGUUCACAAUAAUAAUAAUAAUUAUUAUUAUUAUUAUUAUUAUUAUUAAGACAAUAACCGUAUACGUUUUGUUUUUAAAGCGGCUUGUUUUAUUUAUACAAUCAAAAAACAACAAUAAUCGUUGAAUAAUGAAUAGGCUUUUAGGGGUUUUCAACUAAAAUGUAUUAUGGAAAACGAUCCCGAUCGAGAAUGCUGGACACAAUAAGAAGUCAGCUGAGCGAUGAGGCUCGCCUAGGGUAGGAGUCGUGAAUCUCGCGACACUACAGCUCCGAUUAUAUUGCAGUACAAUGGUACCAUAUCUCCUCGGCUGGCAAAUAAUUAAACUUGUACUAGAAUUCAUCUUGAUUUGAAGGCUUAGUGGCUUCAAAUCGUGGUAAUGGAGAAAUGGAGAUGUCACGUGCGCACAGAACUCAUACAGCGAGACAGCUCACAGAAGGAUCCAUAUGCUGGCGUCUUCAGAAGUUUUUAGAACAAGAUGGAAUAACAUUUGUGGAACUUCACCUCUGGUUAAGAGAGAGUGAACACCUGUCUAAAAAGUUGUCUCAGACCGUCUCUGACCUGACCAGUGUUUUGUAUUUCAAAGAGGCUGAGCUACAGUACUGGCAGUCUCAGGUAGCCCGUUUCCGUCGGGAGGCUCUGAGCCUGGCUGGAGGCAGCAACUCGCUGAAGGCCACCCUGAACCACCAGGAGUUCACCCUUGAGAGGCAGGCCAAGGAGCUGGCCGCCCUGCAGAAGGAGCACAUGCGCCUCCGGGAGGGGAUGGUGGAGGCCUGGAAGGAGAAAGGGGACCUCCUCCAGAGAUGGAUGGAGGAGAAGAAAGAGGAGGCGGCAAGGGUUAAUAAGUACAAUGACGCACAGGAAAGGUGGCGUCGGUUGGCCAGACGGCUGAAGAAACAACUUCGGGGAGAAACGGUCAAACCUUCGGAGCAGACGGAGAUUGACGUGACGAGUGGCGAAAAAGAAGCAGCAUUCAAACUAGAAUGAGUGACAGCAUUUAUUUUGUAACUUUUUUUCAUCUGUAACUAAUAUCGCUUAAAUAACUUGUUUUACAUUCGCAGUUUAAUGUGAGCACCAUUCCUAGAAGCACAAUCCGAACUCCACUUAAACAGCAACUAAAUAUGCACCUGAUGCAACUCUCUAUUGACUACAUUUAAUGUUGUUUAGAUGGACCGUUUUUAUUGAAUCAACAUGGGCAGGCAUCACUUGUGCAUCAAGCUUACAAACCAAACUAAUAAUUCAAGAUUAUAUGCACCUCCUGAUGACGUUGUAACAUGUUUGUGUUUGUGUAACCUUAUCGGAUUGGUUUUUAGUCCGAUAAGAUCUUAAAGUGAAUCAUGUUUUUUUUACUUUUUAGUGUGACUGACAAGCCUACAUUAUUAUAUUUUAAAAAGACUCGUGGUAGAUAUGCUAUAUAAAUAUAUUGUGUUAUCAACUUUUUUUUAAAAUAAAGCAAUGUGUAACGUGCGAGAUUAAUUAUUUUUUGUUCACAGUUUUCAUGCAUUUUAUUUAAAAGCCCUUGUGUCAUCAUUGUUAGC
ensembl:lncRNA